GCGAAAGCCUGACGGAGCAAGACCGCGUGGGGGAGGAAGGCCUUUGGGUUGUAAACCCCUUUUGUUAGGGAAGAAAAAAAUGACGGUACCUAACGAAUCAGCCUCGGCUAACUCCGUGCCAGCAGCCGCGGUAAUACGGAGGAGGCAAGCGUUAUCCGGAAUUAUUGGGCGUAAAGCGUCCGUAGGUGGCCCGGCAAGUCUGCUGUCAAAGACCACAGCUCAACUGUGGAAAGGCAGUGGAAACUGCAAGGCUAGAGUGCGGUAGGGGUAGAGGGAAUUCCCAGUGUAGCGGUGAAAUGCGUAGAGAUUGGGAAGAACACCGGUGGCGAAAGCGCUCUACUGGGCCGCAACUGACACUGAUGGACGAAAGCUAGGGGAGCGAAUGGGAUUAGAUACCCCA
rnacentral:rRNA from 1 species